GAGUUUGUGUGUGAAUACUCGGUCGGCUGUCAUACUCCCCGGAGUACCACUUUGCGUGCUCUUUUUUUGGGAUGACCUCGUUUGAAGAGGACGGUCGGUGUUCAGACGCGGAGCGGGUGCAAGAGGGCGGUGCAAGAGGUGCUGAGGACAGGACGAGCGGCAGCGUCGCCGGAGCGUAGCGUCGGGGACCCGAGCCCGUCCAUUGGCCACGGGAAGAGCUAGACUUUAAACGUAGAGCCAACCAACUAACUACCUACCAGUGGAAGUUUUUUAGCGGACAAGUUCGUGCCUUAUUUCUCUUCAGGACGAGGACUCCCUGUAACACAAAGGCGUAGUCAAGGAAGAGUACCACCUGACUGUGACUGACAUCUUUGAAGUCGUUAAUUUCCUUAACCAAGGACCCAAUAAAAUCAAACAUUUUUUCAUAAAGGAGUUUAUACCACCGGAGAGAUCUAUUACACUCUCCGAACUGAAAUCGGUACAGUAGGUCACGUAAGUAGCCAAGUUCGAAACAUUAGUUCUUUUAACCCGACUUCUUCCGACCCCUAAGACCCCGAUCUCGUUCUCGUCCAAGACCUCCAGUAAGUAUGAACAUACUUGGUAAUACCACCGACCCUUACCAGUGAUACUAAGACCCGCUCUAUCGUUUGAAACGUCGUAUGCGUAAACGGGGACGGUAUGAACAAUGAGGAGAUCCUCGAGACUCGUAGUAUAAAUCACGUCACGAGCGUGUGAAGUAGGACUUUCUCUCUAACGUAUACAAACCACAACAACCAACGUAGAACACACAACAACCCAGACAACCAUAUCAAAACGUACGGGGUUUCCUCUCCCUCUAAUUAAGUCACCUCCUUUAUACCGUAAAACGUUGAGUCGGUCCAAAGUAACAAAUAAGUACACACCGACACCAACCACGAGAAAAAAACUAAAAGACCCGACAGUUUGCGAGACCAGUAUCCUUCUACGAGCAGAUAUAACGUUAGACAAGUGAUUACCCUAGUGAGUGCCAAUAGUCGCAUUUUCGUCAACGGUAACGGAACUUCGACAGUAAAUCACUUAGUUUGGUUAAGUAGAUGCAGGUCUGCACCAAGAAGUAUAAACAACAGUAAUAAACGACGAACCACGUCAACUUGAUAAAUUUGUUCCGAAACCUGAGAAAGUUAUGCCGACACCAGAGAGGCCAUAUGAUGCACUACAAGUGGUAAGAAUGCUAAGAGCGAUUGUACUAAUACAUGUUCCCUGAAAAGAUGAAGUGUUCUGAUUGUGGUCGUCGUGUCUAUCUGUACGCCUCUCACGUGGUUGUGGAGGUGGAGGUGGCGGCGGCGGCGGCGGACUAGUUUAAACACACGUCCCUACUUCGGACGAAGGUUCAAUAAUGGAUUGAAGUCGAGGUGCAGAUUGUACAUGGUUUUGUAACUCUGUUGUUCGUGUACCUUAGGCUAACUUACAAUAUAACCAUAUCAUCAUCGUAUAAAACAAUUUCUACAAAGAGAAAAUGGACAUAUCAGCUUCACAUACUUAUAUCAGAAGUGAUGUGUACUGAACUUUAAAUACGUCUCAAAUAAUAUUCUUUAUUUACCUUUGCUAUGAUGGUUUGCUUUAAACAAAA
rnacentral:rRNA from 1 species